rnacentral:rRNA from 1 species
GUCUACAGCCAAACCACCCUGAACAAGCCAGAUCACAUCUGCUUUUGGAAGCUAAGCAGGGUUGGGCCUGGUUAGUACUUAGAUGGGAGACACUAGCAAGUAAAGAUU